rnacentral:rRNA from 1 species
UACGGAGGAUCCAAGCGUUAUCCGGAUUUAUUGGGUUUAAAGGGUGCGUAGGCGGUCUUCUAAGUCAGUUGUGAAAUACUUCAGCUUAACUGGAGAGGUGCAAUUGAUACUGGAAGACUUGAGUACUGAUGAGGUAGGCGGAAUGGACGGUGUAGCGGUGAAAUGCUUAGAUAUCGUCCAGAACACCGAUAGCGAAGGCAGCUUACUAAGGAGUAACUGACGCUGAGGCACGAAAGUGUGGGGAUCAAACAGG